rnacentral:rRNA from 1 species
CAGCCGCCGCGGUAAUACGUAGGGUGCAAGCGUUAAUCGGAAUUACAGGGCGUAAAGCGUGCGCAGGCGGUUAUAUAAGACAGAUGUGAAAUCCCCGGGCUCAACCUGGGAACUGCAUUUGUGACUGUAUAGCUAGAGUACGGCAGAGGGGGAUGGAAUUCCGCGUGUAGCAGUGAAAUGCGUAGAUAUGCGGAGGAACACCGAUGGCGAAGGCAAUCCCCUGGGCCUGUACUGACGCUCAUGCACGAAAGCGUGGGGAGCAAACAGGAUUAGAGACCCCUGUAGUCCCUGUCUCUUAUAC